GGAAUUUAGAGUUAUAUUUUGAAGAGACAUAUUGUUUUAUAUAAAAGUUGGCAAAAAAGUUGACUGAAGCCUCCCCCUCCAACGUAAAGGCAUAUAUAUAUAUGGUGGCAAAAGAAAAAAAAAACUCAUGAAUCAUAGUUAGGAAAAUCGGGACAAAGAAUUUCGAGUCCACAGUGCAGAGUUAUACAGCUUCAUCAACACAGUUAGUUCACCAUAGAACAAACCCCAUUCAUGACGUUGUUCGUUCAGCCUUUUCACCCUCUAAAAGCUUUAGCUCCUGGCGCCAGCUUUCCACUUUUGCCAACUUCUCCAACUGCUCUGGCUUCAUAUCCUCUGGUGCAGUUUUCUGCUGCUGACCUUCUGCAAUUCGAAUCUGGACAAAGGGAACAACAUUUGAAUCAACCAAUCAUAUAAAACAAGAUCGGCAAAGUCUAAGUGCUUGAAACACAUUGGAGUCCCUGUGACUUCCAAAUUUUUCAUAAAACCAGUAGAGAGGCAACAAAGAAAGAAGCUAUUUACAAAUUUACAGGGUAGAACACUAAAUUGUGUUACAAACAGUUAGUGAUGUCAAAGGAGCUUAAUCAUAUUGUAAUUAACAUAAUUCCCAAAGUUAUCAUAAACCCAGCUGAGUCACUCCCUAGCAGUGUAAGUGCUCAGUCAUUACAAAGCAUCACAAGCCAUCAAUUUGGUUUUACACCAAUAAUAUCCGAUGAGUGAACAUAGAUCAAGCCACUGUUGUGCUUUGAGAAAAGAUAAAACAUAGGAAAGGGGAAAAUUAGAAGAAAGGGCAGAGUGUGAAGAAGCAGAGAAGAGGCGGGGCACAGAGAGAGAGAGAACUUGUAUUGAUUAUCUUGAAUGAAGCCAAUUACAGCUCAAUAACUCUAUUUAUAUCCGUUUUGGCUUCAGUAACUAAUAGCUUGUCAUAAACCAGUUCAGCUAACAAACUAAAUAAACUAUUCUCAACUUUUUUUCCCUCUCCUUUGCAUUUGAUAUUUACGGUGCUCCUCAGUCACAACUCACAACAGGCAUGUACAACAUGAUAUCUGAAAACUAAUUUGGUUUUACACCAGUAGUGUCAACAAUGGACGCCAUCAUUCUUGUAGGGAGGAUAAUUGAGCUAACGAGGGCAUGUAGUAGAGUAAUAAAAAUAGCGGGUACAAGAGGGAGUAUGUUAUAUAGAAAGGGUAAGUAUGGAGAGAUAUUACAAGCACAAGGACUGUUGAACUCAAUAUAGAUGAAUUACUUGAUACAGUUGGCUUUCGCCUAGGACAUGCUUUUAACCAUUAUCUUUUGCUCCAGUCAUGGAUGUACUAAUCAAGCAUAUUCAAGAGAGUAAUUAACCAAACAAGCUAUUUAUUGAUAACAUAGUUCUAAUAAAUGAAACAGAAGGCAAGAUAGCUAAAAGCAGGAGUUGUGGAAGAAUAAAUAGGAUCCAAAGGUUUUUCAAUGAAGCAAUGUACGUGCAUUACAACCAGGAACAGGCAAUAACUUAUCAUUAGAUUAGAUGUAGAUGAUCUGAAGCAGUCCCUAUUUGUAAUACCUACAUUGUAUUAUACAAGGGUGAUAUUGAGGAAGCUAUGGUGGAAGUGAAUAGAUAAAUUCAUUAAUAAGAAGUGAAGGAGGCAUCCAAAAAUAUAAAGGUGACUUUGGGGGUUUGGGGGGGGGUGGGGGGAGUAGUUUGAAUAAUAAUUAUGACAACAGAAGUAACAUGGAAAGCACAUUUGAAGAAAAUGACUCAACACACAGAAAGUGAAUAUGAAUAUCAAACUAUAAAACAAUGAAUUCUUAACAAGAUUCCUUUAAAAUGUGUGUGCACGUGUUUACACUAGAUAAUAAUAUUAGCCUUUUUUGGCAUGUCUAGAAGGGGGGCCAGCUAUGCAAUUUCUGACAAGUGCAUAAUGCAGUGAUUCAGUGAAGAACAAAAGAUAAACAAUAUAAUAACAUGGAAGAAUAAAAUAUGGCUAAUUUAUAAGAUAGAGAAUAUAUUUAUAAAUUAUUUUUAUUUAAUUUUUCAUUGUAA
rnacentral:misc_RNA from 1 species